rnacentral:rRNA from 1 species
GAAUCCGCYAAGGAGUGUGUAACAACUCACCUGCCGAAUGAAUUAGCCCUGAAAAUGGAUGGCGCUUAAGCGGGUGACCGACACCAUGCCGUCUGAACAAUAUAACGUUCAGAUGAGUAGGAGGACGUGGUGAUUGUGGCGAAGUAUGUGUGCGAACAUGUAUUGAACGAUCACUAGUGCAGAUCUUGGUGGUAGUAGCAAAUAUUCAAGCGAGAUCCUUGAAGGGCGAAGCGGGGAAGGGUUCCACGCUAACAUUGAUUGGGCGUGGGUGAGUCGUUCCUAAGCCGAGUGGCAAUUGCUAAGUAACGGCGAAAGGGAAGCGGGUUUACAUUCCCGCACACGGAUGUGGAGGCGGUGACGCUUUAUUGGGGCGAACACGCUGGCGAUGGCGCUGGGCAGAGUUGUCUUUUCUGUUUGACCGUUUGUGUAUGCGGUGUGGAGUCCGUUUGUUGGGAGAAACACGCGUACAUGGGCAGAGCGCCGGGGCUUAUCCGGCGUCCAGCUCGCCAUCGACGGCCCUUGAAACUUUGCCUGCUGAAUUAAGAUCCACGCCGUGGCGUACCGAUAACCGCAUCAGGUCCCCAAGGUGAACAGCCUCUGCUCAAUAUGAAAAAUGCAGGUAAGGGAAGUCGGCA